rnacentral:rRNA from 1 species
AGUGAACGCUGGCGGUAGGCCUAACACAUGCAAGUCGAACGGCAGCACAGUAAGAGCUUGCUCUUACGGGUGGCGAGUGGCGGACGGGUGAGGAAUACAUCGGAAUCUACUUUUUCGUGGGGGAUAACGUAGGGAAACUUACGCUAAUACCGCAUACGACCUACGGGUGAAAUCAGGGGAUCUUCGGACAUUGCGCGAUUGAAUGAGCCGGUAUCGGAUUAGCGAGUUGGCGAGGUAAAGGCCCAACAAGGCGACGAUCCGUAACUGGUCAGAGAGGGUGAGCGGCCGCGCAGGGACUGAGACACAGCCGAGACUACUAGGGGAGGCAGCAGAAGGGAAGCGUAGGCAGGGGACGAAGGUCUGACCGAGCAACGCCGGGGGAGAGAAGAAUGCUCUCGGAUCGUAAAGGUCUGUUGGAAGGGAAGAACGGGUGAGAGAGUGGAAAGUGGACACUGUGACGGUAGCUUACCAGAAAGGGACGGCUAACUACGUG